GUCUCUGUAGUGUAGUGGUUAUCACAGUCGCCUCCGACGCGACAGACUCGGGUUCAAUCCCCGACGGAUACU